GACGAACGCUGGCGGCGUGCCUAAUACAUGCAAGUCGAGCGAAGUUUUUCUGGUGCUUGCACUAGAAAAACUUAGCGGCGAACGGGUGAGUAACACGUAAAGAACCUGCCUCAUAGACUGGGACAACUAUUGGAAACGAUAGCUAAUACCGGAUAACAGUAUUUCUCGCAUGAGAGAUAUUUAAAAGUUGGUUAUGCUAACACUAUGAGAUGGCUUUGCGGUGCAUUAGCUAGUUGGUGGGGUAAAGGCCCACCAAGGCGACGAUGCAUAGCCGACCUGAGAGGGUGAUCGGCUACACUGGGACUGAGACACGGCCCAGACUCCUACGGGAGGCAGCAGUAGGGAAUCUUCCGCAAUGGGCGAAAGCCUGACGGAGCAACGCCGCGUGAGUGAAGAAGGAUUUCGGUUCGUAAAGCUCUGUUGUUAGGGAAGAAUGGAUAUGUAGUAACUAUACAUGUAAGAGACGGUACCUAACCAGAAAGCCACGGCUAACUACGUG
rnacentral:rRNA from 1 species